GUGAGAUGAAAUCAGCGUUUAAAUAUGUGAUUUCAUGUUGAUUUCAUCUCAUUA
rnacentral:pre_miRNA from 1 species